UACGUAGGGAGCAAGCGUUGUCCGGAAUCAUUGGGCGUAAAGCGCGCGUAGGUGGCCUCAUAAGUCCGCUGUGAAAGUCAAAGGCUCAACCUUUGAAAGCCGGUGGAUACUGUGAGGCUAGAGUACGGAAGAGGCGAGUGGAAUUCCUGGUGUAGCGGUGGAAUGCGCAGAUAUUGGGAGGAACACCAGUGGCGAAGGCGGCUCACUGGACCGGAACUGACGCUGAUGCGCGAAAGCUAGGGGAGCAAACAGGG
rnacentral:rRNA from 1 species